rnacentral:lncRNA from 1 species
CUACUGCCUGAGGACUUUUCCUUGAUGAAAUAUUGGUAGAAGGUCUGUAAACCAGAAGUGCAGCAAUGCAUUGAGGAAGGAGGAAAAAAACCUGAGGGACCAAGGCAGCUUUCAGGAGGUCUUUCUGGGAAGUCUAAGUGCUCCUGCCUGAACAGGAUAGAGAGGAUAAUAACCGUACCAGCUUCACCAACCCAUGGAGAGAACAGCUGA